GGGGAUAUCGGCGACACCUCGACUUACCUGGAUUUCUACUGGCUCCUGUACGACAUACUUAAUGAGGUCAAAGAGUUUGCGGACUUGAAUUGCCAUUACCCCACCUAUUGGCCCGCCGCGUUGCUCGCCCCCGACCACUGCAAUCCCUACCGCCUGGUGGAGGAGACCCGCCGUGCCUUGGAAAACAGAGGUGGUGAAAUUCGGACAGAAUUUAGGUCCUUUACUAAAUCUGGGGAUUUGGUGUUGAGGAUAAAAAAUAUCUUGCUUGAGAGACUUUAAGAAAUGACCUUUGUUAGUGUCUUCCUAACAUUAUUUUUUAUCUGCGGCAACUAAGUCUCCUGGAAAGUGACGCCUGAAUUGUUUAACUUCCUGCCUCGGGAUUUCCAAGGCUUGCGCGCGGUGUUCCCUCCACCAGGCGGAUGGGAUGAUGGGAUCCAAACCCGUUGCUGACUCCACAGAGUGGAAGGAACUGCCUGCACCUCCUUUGUUUCUGCGGUAACGUGCGGGGAGGAAAUUUAAGCCAUUGCUGCCAUCCGGGGGUGUGAGGACUGACCUGAAGGACCUUCCCUCCAUGAUGGUCACGGUGGAAUCCAUCCUGAUAACACAGAUGCUCCUCCCCAUGCUGACUUGGGCAACGAAAGCCACUGCCCCGCCACGGGAGUGAGAGGAACUGACCUGAACAUCGCCUUCCUGCUUGCUGUAGGGAAAGCCUCUGCUGCUGGCCCUGCUGGAGAAAGUCUACCGUCUACGUCAUUGUGCACCGGUACCCAAGACGGCCAGGUAGCUGGGAACACAAGCCACCACAGGUAAGAAAUCUUUACUGUAUUUUUGCCUUUAAUAUUACAGCGAUGUAUUUGGUAAGUUUCCUCCAAAUCUUUGUUCCCUAUACGCUGUUUGAUUAGUCUCUGAAACGAGAACUGCUCAUCGGUUUGUGUUGUUCAUUUCCUAAUUGUUACUCUGUGUGGAAGGAAGUCUGCACCCACGCGGUCAUUCUCCAAAAUGGCGCAUCGAGUCGGUUGUUCCCUGAAUCCCCUGCAAAGCCUUCUCUUUGUGAUGGCCACGGUGGAAUCUAACAUAAUGGCACAGCCGCUGGCGAGUGUUGGAGUCCGACUACUCUCUGGCCCUGAGCUCGAGACUUCAGAUGAAGCCAGACAACCGAAUAUCUCCCCUGCUCCUCCCCGCGGUGCUUGCCUUGCCUUGCCUUGCCGAGUGUACAAGGUUGUGCACAACUAUAGCGACGGAAUGGAUCACAUUAUACACUUGGGUGCCGAUGAACACUGCUAUUACCCGACAUACUGGCCCGUCUCGUUGCUCGCCCCUGACCACUGCAACCAACACUGCCUUCGAUAGAACCUUUGCUGCCACCAGGGGUGGGUGGGUGGAGCCUGGCCUGGACCUCCCCUUCAUGCUGUUCCUGCUGGAGAAAGUCUACCUCCCCUUAAUGAUCCUGCUGGAGAAAGUCUACCUUCCCUUCCUGGUGAAUUCAGUUUGAACUUCAACCCCUGCGUAUUCUAGGGCCCGGCGGUGACCGUCUUUAGAUCAGUGACAUGCCCGAGUUCAGUUUGAACUUCAUCCCCUGCGUUUUCUAAGGCCCGGCGGUGACAGUCUUUAGAUUCAGUGACAUGUCUUGAGUUCAGUUUGAACUUUAUCCCCUUCGUCUUCAAAGGCCCGGCGGUGACCAUCUUUAGAUUAAGAGACUUACCUGAAAUCUGUUUGAAAAUCAUCCCCUACGUUGGAUAAUAGCGGUGCUCUUCCGAGAACCCUUUGACCUCAAUAAGCAUGUCAUGAGCUAGCCAGUAGAAAUUCAGUGAAAACCCUUCGACCUCAAUAAGCAUGUCAUGAGCUAGCCAGUAGAAAUUCAGUGAAAACCCUUCGACCUCAAUAAGCAUGUCAUGAGCUAGCCAGUAGAAAUUCAGUGAAAACCCUUCGACCUCAAUAAGCAUGUCAUGAGCUAGCCAGUAGAAAUUCAGUGAAAACCCUUCGACCUCAAUAAGCAUGUCAUGAGCUAGCCAGUAGAAAUUCAGUGAAAACCCUUCGACCUCAAUAAGUAUGUCAUGAGCUAGCCAGUAGAAAUUCGGUGAAAACCCUUCGACCUCAAUAAGCAUGUCAUGAGCUAGCCAGUAGAAAUUCGGUGAAAACCCUUUGACGCGGCGGGCCAAUGACGCGGCGGGCCAAUAGGUGGGAUAAUAGCAGUUCUCGUCCGCAAACCCUUUGACCUCAUUAAGUAUGUCUUAUAAGAGCCAGUAGAAAUCCAGGUAAGUCGAGGUGUCGCCGAUAUCCCCCAUACCUUGCCUGUCCAGGUACACUUGCGUGACGGUGGGUCCAAGAGUAUGAGGGAGGCCACACUCAUCGUGUGUCGCCGAUAUCCCCCAUACCUUGCCUGUCCAGGUACACUUGCGUGAUGGUGGGUCCAGGAGUAUGAGGGAGGCCACACUCAUCGUGUACCUGUAUCUCUCCCACCGCCGAGAUCUGAAGACCCUGGUGACGAGGACAACCUUCAUCUCAACUAAGCGAGACAGCCAGUUAGGCGCAAGAUCUUGGUGUAUGCUGUGUGUCCAGGGUUAGCUGGAACUCGGAAGGACUCCGACCAGCCUACACCAUUUUGAAUCCGGAUAACGUGGGCGAUCACGUCAUCCGUAAGUGUGAGAAGAGUAUAAGAAACGUCUUCCAAGUUGGUGUUCUCGCCAUUGAUGUUGGAAACGAACGACACAACACGCGAGAAAUCGAGUGGUAUCUAGACCGUGUCGGGGUUUAUGACUGCCUUUUUUUUUUUUUUUUGUGUGUGUGUGUGUGUGUGUGUGUGUGUGUGUGUGUGUGUGUGUGUGUGUGUACGCAAGAUUUAUCCCCUAGUAUCAAAAGGGGAACGGGCCCUUGUCCGAAGACGGCCCGGGGAAACUAGCUCUGUACUUCUUCAAUGUGGGAUUUUCAGGCUUUUGGAGUUUCAACUUUGGCUGUUGUAAAUAUUUCAACUUGGGCUGUAGUAAUUAUUUUAACUUAGCCUGUAGUAUUAAAUUUUUAACUUCAGCUUUUGGAAUUAUUUAUAGUGGUACAUAAAUGCAAUCUAAAUACCGAAGUUAUUGUCCAUAAAUUAUCUAAAAAUGAUGCAAAAAAAAAUACAUUCAACUAUU